CCUACGGGGUGCAGCAGUGGGGAAUUUUGGACAAUGGGCGCAAGCCUGAUCCAGCUAUUCCGCGUGUGGGAAGACGGCCUUCGGGUUGUAAACCACUUUUGUAGAGAACGAAAAGUCUAUUGAUAAUACCGAUAGAUGAUGACGGUACUCUAAGAAUAAGCACCGGCUAACUACGUGCCAGCAGCCGCGGUAAUACGUAGGGUGCGAGCGUUAAUCGGAAUUACUGGGCGUAAAGGGUGUGCAGGCGGUUUUGCAAGAUGGAUGUGAAAGCCCCGGGCUUAACCUGGGAAAGCCAUACAUGACUGCAAGACUAGAGUGCGUCAGAGGGGGGUGGAAUUCCAAGUGUAGCAGUGAAAUGCGUAGAUAUUUGGAAGAACACCGAUGGCGAAGGCAGCCCCCUGGGACGCAACUGACGCUCAUACACGAAAGCGUGGGGAGCAAACAGGAUUAGAUACCCUGGUAGUC
rnacentral:rRNA from 1 species